GCUGGGAUAUAGCUCAGUUAGUAGAGAGCAUGCCUCACACGCAUAAGGCCCUGCGUUCAAUCCCCAGCACAGCG
rnacentral:tRNA from 1 species